AUUGCAGUGUGCUGAAGGAACAUCUGUUUUGGUGAACAGAAAGAAAAAGACAAUAUAAUGUGCAGAAGUUAAGUUUUUCACAGUAUUGACAAUUAUUUGAAUUAUCAGAUUUCCAGUAAAGUUCUCCUUGUUCGACCGUUGGUGAACUUUCCUGCUGCUGGCAAGGAGCUGUGUCAUUGCAGGAGGCGCGAGGAGCUUGCACAUCAGUGAUACUGCGGUGAAGGAGGGCUAGUUCAGUGGCCAUACUUGAUUUUGAAGUGGUGAACCGCACCAAAGACAGCAUUUAUGAUGUUGUAAAAGGAGCAUCUGCGUUGCUUAGCGUUAUGUAAGAACUAUCUUUACUGAAUCACUCAUCGGGUCAGCAACGUGAAUUUAACAGCACAAACUCUUCCUGCUCACCUGUUUUAUCUCUCUGCAUGAUGUACUUUUGUCCUGAAAAAAAUUAAAAUAACUGGUCCUGACAACAACAGUCAUUUGAAGAAAUAAAAAUGCUGACAGGCCAGAAAUGCUCAGCAGCAGAUACCAGUUUUGCACUUAGGGUUGCAGAGGCUAGAGAGAGCUCCAAGUGCUGCAUUCCCAGUGAGGAUAACAUCAUUGAUUUAUUUCAUAAUUUCACCUGCCUGUCACUGACAGAUGACUGCUUAUUUUGAUCCCUGGAAAACAGUUCUGCACAAUAACAUAGGUGCAUUGAAUGCUCCAAAGGUCAAGCAGCUUGAGCAUGGGAAAAUAUUUGUGAAUGAGGCCCAAAAAAACUACUGAAAGAGGUGAUUUCUGGCUCAAAGAUUAGUCUUCAUUUAGAGACUGAGAAUUUAUUGCUGCCCAAACCAGCAUUAUCAGCUUUCUGUCAGCAACAAUCAUCAGGAUUUCCUUUCCCAAUCAACGUGAGCUGUGACCUCAUCGUUGCAAAGGUGAAACCCUGACAGGGAUUAAAGGCUAAUAGAGAGAAAUGAGGUAGCAGGGCUAAACAAAGAGGAGAUUGUUACAUGGCAAUAGCGAACUCAGGCAGAAUGUUACAGCUGAAACAUGAACCACCAAGCCAAAGGGGAAAAACAGUAUUUUUAAGAAGAGCCUGUGUAACGCUGGAUCUCUCUGUCUUUCAGUGGAGAAGGAAGGCAGACUGCCAUCCUUGCCAUCAAAGAUUUUUGAAGCAGGAUUAGCAUAGCCUUGUGGUUUGUCAAGUGUUUAAUUGCAAUUCUGCAGGGACACAGCCUGAAAGACACUGGAAACCAAUUUAACAAUCAUGCCUAUCAUUAUAUAGACCAAAUUGCUCCUGUGCACAUAUAAUAUUUAGUAGUCUGAAACAGAGAUGCUGAGUCUGGGGGAAGGUUUAGAACAUGAAAAGUGAUGAAAGGCAAAUACAUGUCUGAUAUUCAUCAAAGCAAUUUAAUCCACGGCUGAAUAGUGAAAAGAGGCACAAGAAAACUGAAAAGAUUUCAAGAUCUCAGCCUACUUAAAUGUCAGACCAUCUGACUACAGCAAACUCCUGCUACUUCCAGAUGCAGAGGACGGCCUGCUACUGGGAGUUAGUGGUUUCCCUGCAGAAGUGCCACAUCGGGAUGCUUCUCUCCUGGGACAUCCUGCUGACUGUGCUGUGAAGUGAUGUGCAUGUACAGAGCAGAGACGGGGCAGAGCGGCUGCAUGGUUAAGGCACGGCACAAGGAGGAGGGGGAACUCCACCAACCUUCCCCGGGAAGCUCCGAGCAGGGUGAUGGUGUCACACCACAUCACUGCUGACAGUUCCCUGAGCAGAUUCCUUCCAUGGGUAAUUAGCCUUCACGAAGCAUGAAUGGACUAGUUUUCUAUCAGGAGACUGAAUUUUAGCUGACAAAUUAGACAGAUUCCCUGAGGCCAGAGUUAUGCAGCUUUGCCAGUCUCACUAAAAAUGUGAUUUAUAAUAGAUUCCUCAGUACAGGCACUCCUUGCUUCAGGAAUGAAGGUGCACACCAUGCUCAGAGUCUUUGCCAAACGUGAUGGUCUUAAAAACCUUUGUCUUCUGCUAAGAAAAAACUGACUCUGUUACCUGCUUUUAUUUACCAAGUGACUCCUUUUUUCCCCAGCUGAGCGUGACGCUGCUGGGAAACCACUGCCUGUAUUCAGAAGUCAGGGAUGUGCAGGUGCAAAUCACAUUUUAGGAGGUAAGGGGAUGUUAGUUUGGGAAGUUAUACCAGAUGUAGCCUGACGGAGUUUCUAGCUGGGAAAGCAACUCAACAGAUUUUGUGUAAGAUACGCCUCUGGCUUUUGAUGACGUUGGCAUAAAACAGAAGCAGCAGAGCAGACUGUGGCCCACGGAGUUCAGACCUCUUACCUUGUGUUAAUUAUGCAAGAAAUAUCUCAUCCUGCUUUCGAUCCUGCAGCCACCCUGCAUGUUUCCCUGCAUUCAGCUAUGAACAACGUGAAUCCCCGAUGCCUGUUAUCUCUGAGCAUAGCCCCAGGGGUGUGCUGAGCCUGCUACACCGAUUCACCCUGCAGACACAGAUGGCUCUUUCAUCAGUGUGGGACUAGCACAGGUAAAGACAAAACUGAAGUCUAGCAGACAUGAAUGCCAUGUUCAACUUUAUUCCCCUUCUCAUCCUGCCUCUAAACCAGUCCACACAGAAAGCAAAAGAAACAAGAUGUUUUCCCAAGACAAACAGGAAGACCCAGAGACUUGUGCAAUUGCAGAGUCCCAGGUAACAAAAAUGAUGGGCAUGGAGAAAGGGGAACAGAGAAGUCAGGAGGGACUUUAGACUAACAUAAUCCCAGACCCAGUUCUUGCCAACUGAGGCUCCACCUCUGUCUCACCACUGUGUCUUCUCUUUAUUUACCCCUCCAGUGAAACUGGUAUCUGUAUUCAGUGAAUAUCAGCACUUACUCAGAUCAAAAAGUGGGCUUGCCCAUCCCUGACAGUGUCUUGAACAUGUCUGUGUUUGCACGGUAUUAAUAGUUAAUAUUUAUUGUAAUUAUUAAUUUAUAUUACUUAACAACUACAUGCAGUGUUAUCGAAGUACCAGGCACAUCCAGAGGCUGGUAAAUUAUGUGGGGAGAAGCUAAUAAAACCCAUGUCAUCUAGAUCUAGCAAGUGGAUAAUGUGUGGCAGACAGAUGCAGACACAGUGGGCUGAUUUUAUUUGUAUGAAUUCUGGGCUUAAGGAGGACACUGCACAGGUGAACAGAUGGACUACCCCCUCCUUCAAAAUUUGCUUUAAUCUCCAUGUGAACUGGGAAAUUCAUAGUUCCAUAGCAUUACUCUUCCUGGUCACUGAAAAGUGUGGGGUUUUUAAAUCUACAAAAUCAGAAUCCUGUCACGUAAACACAAAUAACAACUUUUGCAGAGGCUGAAUCUCAUAAUCAGCACAUGCAAAAGGAAACUAUCUCAUUUCAUUUAUGUUUGUGGCUGCUUAAGGAAGUUAAGAUGGCGGGUUAAAAAAAAAAUAAUCUAUAUAUCACUUAACCUUAGUCUCGUGGGAAAAGACAUAUAAAACAUGAAUGGAUCAAAGCUUCCCUUCACAUAUUUAAUUAGAUUAACUUUUUGGACAGCCUUUACAUGCUGGUUUAAAUGAAACAAACUUUCUGCUUUUCAGGUACGACAGAAAAGUUUCAUCAGAUAUUUCUUUGGUUUGUUAAGGUUUUGAAAUGAAAAGGCAGUAAAAUAUCCUCAUAUCCACAAAUCUUCUAAAAUCUUCUGAAGAUGUUACUUUAAUACCAAUAUUUGUUCUCUUUUUUAAAGCUUAGGUUGCGUGGUUCUGUCAAAGGAAUAUAAAGGUGGCGUAGGAAAAUUCUAAGAAAAUAAGGUCUGAGAUUUUUAACUAGAUCUUCAUGUGUUUCAUAGUAUUGUACCAAAAAUAAUACUAAUUUUUACUACUCUUUUCUGAUGAGUAUUAAACUGCUCUUAUAGUUGCAAAAAUUGACAAGAACCUAAAGAAAAAGAUCCUGGAGAAUCGAAGUUCGAACCCACCGUUCCUCAGUUCUGCAUUUGUCAAACAGCCCCCUCUACACAAUAGGAUAUAUUUUGUCUUUAGAGAGAGACAGAGAAUGUAUGUGGCAACUUCUGAGCUACCAAUAGCAUCUUCUAAAAUAGUAUUUCUUAAGGUGUCAUAAGACUGGUCUUCAUAAAUGCUCCAAAACCAAACUCUGUUGGUAUUUGUUUCCUCACACCUAAGAUACAAAUCCCAGUCCUGUCACCCUGGCCUUGUAAAGCUUAUCUGCUGACAUAGUAUCACAAGUACGGAAAACCUUUUAUGUCUUGUUUCUAUGUGAUAUAGUUAGCUCCUGAUCUUAUUUCUAUGUAGGCUAAAUGAAAUGCUGUAAAUUUACUUAUCACCUCCUGUGAUUUAAGUUUACAAUAGUCCCAGAUUCACUCAUGAAUUUAUUUUCUAUUUCACAAAUGGAAUUAACAAAUUAAAUGAACUGAACAUCUGUGGUGAAUAAUAUGAACUCAGUAUAGUCAUUCAGAGAGACAAUUUUAGGUUGAGUUCUGUAGUCCAUUAUUUUACCUCCACUAGAUGUCAGUCUGUUGACAGAGCAGGAGGGGUUUAGAACCUCUUUCACAGUAAGGAGCAUGGUCAGGAUCACAGGACAAUUCUUCACUUCCAAUCACCAGCAGUAACCCAAAAUAGGAGAUACUGAGUCACUAUAUUGGUUUUUCUUGUUCUUUGCUCUUUUAGCCCGUCUUUUCCCUCCAGCAAAUUUCUCAGCAUUGACAAGGUCCACCAAUGCUGAUAAAUGGGAGCAGUGCUGAGUAACGCGGAAUUCCCUGUGGGCAUUUCCCUUUGCUCAUCCAUUCAUAAGGGGCCAGGCUUGACACAUCUGCUCAGGAGGACUACUUUCACUUGUGAGUCCCUUGAAAAUAUUUAAGUGUGUGCCUUUUUACUUGCUGACAGCGACCAGGUGGUGAGGAGCUUUUUGGGUAUUUCUGUUCCUUAGGAGGGAUAUUUAUUUUUAUUUUCUGAAGAAGAUAUAAUUUCAGAAAGUAUUCUCACCACUCCAAUAGUAUCUUUAUAACACUGCUGAAGGAGCCAGGCUUGACUGCAGGCUUAGCAGAUUAAUUAAAUUCCCCAAGCAGCAGAAUCAGGAUAAUAUUUCCAGGACCAUACACAGGAUUUUGGAGGAUUUUGCACACAGAUGCUAACCGGUGGCUUCUGCAGCCCUAAAAACGUAAGUUUCCCAUGUGCAGCUCUGUAAACACCAUGCAAACCCAGCAUGUCAGGAUUAAUGUGCAUGUGGAGAGUGACUACACCCUGCAUGCAAUGGCAGUGAGUCUGCUUGAACUCUCUGUCCUGUGACACAGAGUUACUCCAUGUAUACUCAAAAGCCUGGUGAGCUCAGUACAGAGCACAGGAGUGAUUUAUGCGCACGUCCUUAAUAGCAAUGUUUUGGAUGCUCAGCUGUCCAGGUUGCUGAGGUCCAGAAAAACUGUUGCUGCUAUCAAAACACAGGAAAAACCACGGUUUUCAUGAGAGAUGAGAUCUGAUUGUAUUUGUAUGGGAAAUCCAUAUUAUAUGGCACAAAUAAUAGCAAAUGUAGCACUGCUAGCGGAGGCAUUUUCACCUGGGAGUCUAGGACUUAAAAUAACACUGGAUAGUUGAAAAGGUCAGAAGAGGGGACUCGUAAGUGCACACUCUCACCUUCACAGUCCUCCUCAAGAAUCCUCCUUUCCCACAAAACCUUAAACAAAAAUACUCUCAACUUAUUUCAGCUAUCCUGUCUCUAUGUGGCACAAUCCAUUUCUGGGCAUGCCUUUCUGUAAACCCGCUGCUUACGGUCACCUUCCCCACAUCUAUCUUUUCUUCUUUUUUCUCCUGAUCAGCGUCAACGGCAGCCUGUCCUGUGGAGAGAGACGUCCUCCCCUGCUUUGUGUAUUGCCUGGAGCAUCCCUGUCCUUUCCUACAGACAUUAAACUGCAGUAACUGAUUUUUUUUCCCUGCCAUAGUGUUAAAACUAUGAUUGUCAGCUGACACCCAAAAAGAGAAAAAAAAUCAGGGACUUUUAAAAUGUUUUGCCCAAGUUUGCAUUACCUUAGUGUACAGGAAGAAAAAUGUCAUAGUGUCUGAUGGAGAGUGAAGUGGACUGUAUCCCACCUUCUCCUCUAUGCAUCCAUUUUCUAUUUUGGCCAUGCUGACCUCCUUAGUCAUCCCAAGCCAUACUUAUCCCAGCUUGCAAAAAUAAGAACCUCACUCCCCAUGUGCCAAUCUGAGUCCUGAUUCGGUGUAUACUAUACAAUAACAUAGAAUAACUUCCCAUGCUUUUUACAGGUGUCUCUGAUAUGUCACAGUAUUACAGAUGUACGCAGGUGCAACCACACAUGCAGGCAUGCACAAAAGGAACCAGACGUCCACUUCUGUCGCGGCAUGAUGCCAUGAGCUGCAGACAAAAGGGAUCCUGUUGUGCCCAUCAGAUGCUGGGGUUUUAAGCAGGCAAGCCCUGUGUGUGAUGCUGCUCCUGCAACACAGAAGUCAGUAUGGAUUUUGCCACUGGGUUCUGCCCAAGCAGGAUGGUAAUUAAACGCCAAACUCUCUGUCAAACCCUGUAAUAGACAGAAUCUUCACCUGUGAGAAUAAAUUUCU